rnacentral:rRNA from 1 species
GACGAACGCUGGCGGCGUGCUUAACACAUGCAAGUCGAACGGAAAGGCCUGCCUUCCCUUGUGGAUUGCGGGUACACGAGUGGCGAACGGGUGAGUAACACGCGAGUGAUCUGCCCCCAACUUCGGUAUAAGCCUGGGAAACCGGGUCUAAUCCCCGAUAGGACUGCAGGGUGGUGCCUGUGGUGGAACAUGAUUUUAUCGUGGUUCGGGGUGGGCGCGCGGUCUAUCAGCUGGGUGGCAGGGUAACGGCCUACCAAGGCGGCGACGGGUAGCCGGGCUGGGAAGGUGGACGGGGACAUUGGGACUGGGAUACGGCCCUGAGGCCGGCGGGAGGCAGCAAUGGGGGAUAGUGGACGAUGGGCGGAAGCCGGAGGCAGGGGCGCCGCGUGGAGGAGGACGGCGUGGGAGGUGGAAACUCCUGUCGGCCACGAGGAAGAGACCUGGUUGGAAGGGUGGUAAGGUUAGUGGAGGAAGAGGCACCGGCUAACUACGU